rnacentral:misc_RNA from 1 species
UUUAGCUAACUGACUUCAUAAGGAUUGGGCAGCGAAAAAUUAUUUCCCAGUCCAUAUGGUAAAGCCAAAUUUCAAUGGCCCCUCCCAAAACCUUAAUUCCUAGUCCAAUUUUUUUGUAAUAGGAAGGAAAUUUUAGGACCUGGGAUAAAUUACUCUGCUAAUGCCAUAACAUUCAUCAUCAAUACAUGGAUCGCUAAAAGAUGCUGCCAACAAAAGUGUACAAAUUUUCAAUAGCGAAUUUGAUUUUCAACACAGGAGACCAG